rnacentral:rRNA from 1 species
UACAUAGGUGGCAGCAGUGUCGGAUUCGAUUGGUGCGUAAAGAGCUCGUAGGCGGUCUGUCGCGUCUGCUGUGAAAACUCAGGGCUUAACCCUGAGCUUGCAGUGGGUACGGGCAGACUAGAGUGCGGUAGGGGAGACUGGAAUUCCUGGUGUAGCGGUGAAAUGCGCAGAUAUCAGGAGGAACACCGGUGGCGAAGGCGGGUCUCUGGGCCGUAACUGACGCUGGAGGAGCGGAAAGCAUGGGGAGCGAACAG